rnacentral:rRNA from 1 species
GACGAACGCUGGCGGCGUGCCUAAUACAUGCAAGUUGAGCGCUGAAGGUUGGUACUUGUACCAACUGGAUGAGCAGCGAACGGGUGAGUAACGCGUGGGGAAUCUGCCUUUGAGCGGGGGACAACAUUUGGAAACGAAUGCUAAUGCCGCAUAAAAACUUUAAACACAAGUUUUAAGUUUGAAAGAUGCAAUUGCAUCACUCAAAGAUGAUCCCGCGUUGUAUUAGCUAGUUGGUGAGGUAAAGGCUCACCAAGGCGAUGAUACAUAGCCGACCUGAGAGGGUGAUCGGCCACAUUGGGACUGAGACACGGCCCAAACUCCUACGGGAGGCAGCAGUAGGGAAUCUUCGGCAAUGGACGAAAGUCUGACCGAGCAACGCCGCGUGAGUGAAGAAGGGUUUCGGAUCGUAAAACUCUGUUGGUAGAGAAGAACGUUGGUGAGAGUGGAAAGCUCAUCAAGUGACGGUAACUACCCAGAAAGGGACGGCUAACUACGUG